AACGUAGGGGGCAAGCGUUGUCCGGAAUUAUUGGGCGUAAAGCGCACGCAGGCGGCAAAGUAAGUCAGAUGUAAAAGGUAUGGGCUCAACCCAUAUUUCGCAUCUGAUACUGCAUUGCUAGAGAGUGGUAGAGGGAAUCGGAACUUCCAGUGUAGCGGUGAAAUGCGUAGAUAUUGGAAGGAACACCAGUGGCGAAGGCGGAUUCCUGGCCCACUUCUGACGCUGAGGUGCGAAAGCUAGGGGAGCAAACGGGAUUAGAUACCCCCGUA
rnacentral:rRNA from 1 species